UUUUGUAGACCCUUUUUUGGGUCUAUGUUGCUUCAUUUACCCCCAAUGCAUGUUAAUAGAAUGUUGUGCCUAUAAAAUAUAUAUACAACUUUCAGCAACGGAUCUCUUGGCUCUCGCAUCGAUGAAGAACGCAGCGAAAUGCGAUAAGUAAUGUGAAUUGCAGAAUUCAGUGAAUCAUCGAAUCUUUGAACGCACCUUGCGCUCCUUGGUAUUCCGAGGAGCAUGCCUGUUUGAGUGUCAUUAAUAUAUCAACCUUCUCUUGUUUGAGUGGUUUGGAUGUGGGGGUUUGCUGGCCCUUCAAAGGGUUCAGCUCCCCUGAAAUGCAUUAGCAGAACACAAACAUGUUCAUUGGUGUGAUAACUAUCUACGCUAUUGAAUGUGAGGGAGCAGUUCAGCUUUCUAACAGUCCCCGGACAAAUUUAUCAUCAUUAAUGUGACCUCAAAUCAGGUAGGACUACCCGCUGAACUUAAGCAUAUCAAUAAGCGGAGGAAAAGAAACUAACAAGGAUUCCCCUAGUAACUGCGAGUGAAGCGGGAAAAGCUCAAAUUUAAAAUCUGGUGGUCUUUUGGCCGUCCGAGUUGUAAUCUAGAGAAGUGUUAUCCGCGCUGGACCGUGUACAAGUCUCCUGGAAUGGAGCAUCAUAGAGGGGUGAGAAUCCCGUCUUUGACAUGGGCUGCCAGGGCUUUGUGAUGCGCUCUCAAAGAGUCGAGUUGUUUG
rnacentral:rRNA from 1 species